CCCGCUGAACUUAAGCAUAUCAAUAAGCGGAGGAAAAGAAACUAACAAGGAUUCCCCUAGUAACUGCGAGUGAAGCGGGAAGAGCUCAAAUUUGAAAUCUGGCAGCUCUCUGAACUGUCCGAGUUGUAAUCUAGAGAAGUGUUACCUGUGCUGGACCGUGUACAAGUCUCCUGGAAUGGAGCGUCACAGAGGGUGAGAAUCCCGUCUUUGACACGGACUGCCUGCAUGUUUAUGGUGCGCUCUCAAAGAGUCGAGUUGUUUGGGAAUGCAGCUCAAAAUGGGUGGUAAAUGCCAUCUAAAGCUAAAUAUUGGCGAGAGACCGAUAGCGAACAAGUACCGUGAGGGAAAGAUGAAAAGAACUUUGGAAAGAGAGUUAAACAGUACGUGAAAUUGCUGAAAGGGAAACGUUUGAAGUCAGUCGCGUCGGCCGAGACUCAACCUUGCUUCUGCUCGGUGCACUUCUCGGUUGACGGGUCAGCAUCAAUUUUGACCGCCGGAUAAAGGUCGGGGGAAUGUGGCAUCCUUCGGGAUGUGUUAUAGACCUCGAUUCGGAUACGGCGAUUGGGAUUGAGGAACUCGGCGCUUUGCGUCCAGGAUGCUGGCAUAAUGGCUUUAAGCGACCCGUCUUGAAACACGG
rnacentral:rRNA from 1 species